UGUGUGUGUGUGUGUGCGUGUGCGUGCGUGCGUGCGUGCGUGCGUGCGUGCGUGCGUGCGUGCGUGCGUGCGUGCGUGCGUGCGUGUGUGUGUGUGUUUGUGUGUGUGUGCGGAAUGUUGGGCAUGCAGCAGCACGUCGCAUCUGUGUGUGUUUGAGAGUGUGUUGAUUAAUCUCCUGCUGAACUAAGAGUGUUUUCUCUCUGUGUGUGUGUGUGUGUGUGUGUGUGUGUGUGUGUGUGUGUGUGUGUUUUCUCUCUCCUGCUGCUGUUUCUCUCCGUCAGACUCUCAGCUCCACUGCUCUUUCUUUGACACCAUCGACAGCUUCUGUUAGUGUGUGUGUGCGCAUGAGGUGUGUGUGUCAGUCACGAGUCGAGGUCAGAUGAGGAUCUUCAGAGUGUGUGACGCUCCUGAUGGAGGAAACUCCAGCGCUUACUCACACACUGCUCUGAUGAGGUCAUUUCCUGUUUGACUCGCCUCUUACCAGAGGUGUGUGUCAGUGAGGGUGUGUGUGUCCACGUUUGUGCACAUGUAUGCAUGGGUAUCUGUGUGUGUGUGUGUUUCAGACUGUGUAUGUAUGUAUGAACGUAUGUAUCUAUGUAUGUGCGCUCGUGUCUGUGUGUGUGUGCUCAUGCAUCCAUCUACACAUGAAUGCAUCCGUGUGAGUGAGUGUGUGCGCACACAUGUGGGAGUGUGUAUGCAUGCAUCCGUGUGCAUGCAUGUGUGUUUGUGUGUGUGUGUGUGUGCACAUCCAAAUAUGUGCAAACGUGCAUGUGUGUGUGCAUAUGUACUUGUGUGUGUGUGUGUGUGUGUGUGUGUGUGUGUGUGUGUGCAUCUAAAUGUGUGCAUACAUGUGUGUGUGUGUGUGUGCGUGCAUGCAUGCAUGCAUUCGCGUGUAUGCAAAUGUGCAUGUGUGUGUAUGCAUCCAUAUGUGUGUAUGUGAAUGUGUUAGCGAGUGGUUGUGUGUGGGUGAGUGGGUGCGCAUCCAAAUGUGUGCACACAUGCAUCCGUGAGUGUGUGUGCGGGUGUGUGUGUGCGUGCAUGUAUGCAUUCAUGUGUAUGCCAACGUGCAUGUGUAUGUGCAUAUGUACGUGUGUGUGUGUGUGCAUCUAAAUGUGUGCGUACGUGUGUGUGUGUGUGUGUGUGUGUGAGUAAGAGUGUGCGCCUGUAUGCACCCAUGUGUGUAAGAGUGUGCGUGCAUAUGUAUGUGUGUGUGCGCAUGUAUGCAUCCACAUGUGUGCAAAUGUGUGUGUGUGUGUGUAUGCAUCCAUAUAUGUGUAAGUGAGAGUGUGUGUGUGUGUGUGUGUGUGUGUGUGUGUGUGUGUGUGUGUGUGUGCGCAUAUAUGCACGUGUGUGCAAAUGUGCAUGUUUGUGUGUGGGUGCUUGUGUGUGCAUGCGUGCGUGUGUGUGUGUGUGUGUGUGUGUGUGUGUGUGUGUGUGUGUGUGUGUGUGUGUGUGUGUGUGUGUGUAUGUGAGUGCAUGCAUGGAUUCAUCCACAGGUGUGUGCGUGCGUGCGUGUGUGUGUGUGUGUGUGUGUUUCUAUGGAGCUGUUUGUUUACAUACACGUGUUUGUGUGUGUAUGGGUGUACAUGCAGGCACGUGCCCGUAUGUGUGUGUGUGUGUGUGUGUGUGUGUGUGUGUGUGUGUGUGUGUGUGUGUGUGUGUUAGUUAGUCCAAUGCUGCAGUGCCUAUCAUUAUUAUCCUCAUCCGUGUCAGUAUUCCGGCCAUGAACUGAUGGUCAAACACUGAGUGCAGAGCGGCGGGAGACUCACUCACUCACUCACUCUCUCUCUCACUCACUCAUCAUCAGAGUCCUGCAGGAAAACAAUCAUCUGAGCGUGACUCAACUCCUGCGCUCCUGCUUGAACACACUCACAGUGUUUCAGUUUAAAGCGGUUACUGGAGCGGGAUUUUAGGAAAAUAUCAAGUUUCAGCAUCUCCAGUGUCAUUCAGUCCCACAGUCUCUGAGGAUUAUUUCUCCAAGAUCUUCAGUGUUUAAAGACUCCAAUAAUCUGCUUUUAUUGAAUCAUUGUAAAUCCUAAUCAACCUUCACACUCAGUAAACACAACAUCAUCAAACGUGGACGUCAGUAAUGCGCCAGGCCUCUCUGAAAGUGCAGAGCAGACAUGAUUUCCUGAAUUGAGCGUUUUUAUAUGAACUCUUGCUGUUUUUUAACUCCUGUAUGUUUGUGCCAAUAUAAAGUGACUCAAAACACACGUGCAGAAAUUAAAAAUCUCUCUUUUAUUGAUGUAAAAUCCAUCUUUUACUUUAAAUAACGUUUAGAAAACAAUUAAAAUAAUAAUACAUCUAAAAUUGCUAGUAAAUUUCAUAGGUUGUGUGAUUUAUUUGCAGUUUAUUUAUUAUUUGGACGUGUAAAUAGGUUAAUUUGGAAUCAAUAUUACAAGAUAUACAUAAUUUCAGGCUGGCGUUUGAUUUAAAAUGCUGAUUAUUAUUAUUGUUUCUUUGAUUUUUCUUCUUUAAAUGCUUAAAUAUAAAUUCAUCAUGUUAAUAUCAGCCGUGCAAGUCUUAAACUGUAGAGUAGUGUUUUCUACUUUUAUUUUAAAGCUGUUAAAUCACUUUAUCACAGUGAUGAUGAGAUUAUAAUGAUGUAGAAGCUUGCAGAUGGUACUUUUAUUUUGUUUUCUGCCAAAAUAAGAGCGCUGGUUUAACGUUUAAUAGCAAAGCAAAGCCAAAACAACAUUAGUUUUGUAAUUUUAUAUAAGAUAAUAUAUAUAAAUAAAAUAAUAAUAGUUGUAAAAUAUAUAUAUAAUUGUUUUUCUACUAAUUAAUUGAGAACAACUUGUUUAUAAUAACCCUACCACCAGUUUCUGAGUGAAAUUUGUUUUAUUUUGUAAUUUUCUUUUCAGUGUAGAGAGACUAACACACCAACAACUCCUACUUCAACAUAUGUCAGUGUAUUUGAACUGUCGAACCCAAUAAACAGUGGUACAUUAUUGACAAAUAUUCAUUUUAAGCGCUGAUAUUUGUGCCAAUGCAUAUAUUUAUAUGCCUUUUUCAUAGUAAAAGCGUGACUUUGUUAAAUAAAUAUAAUUAAACACUGGUCUGGAAACAGUUUUCACUCAGAAUCUGCUUGUAAAUUUCACAAACAUGGUUAAAGGCGGUAAUGAUAAACGUGUGUGUGUGUGUGUGUGUGUGUGUGUGCGUGCGUGUGUGUGUGCGCGUGCGCGCUUGCGUGUUUAUUUUCCCUUCUGCAUGAGUCUGACCGCAGAUCUGCAUGACUGUAAAAUCUCUCAUUAUUGCUGAUCUGAGAACAGGCGUUAAGCUAGACCUCUUUAUUUACGUCUGUCCGCAGAUGAUCUGACAUUGUUUCUGUUUGGAGUUUUCAGGACAUCUCAGCUUUCUCUUGAUAAUGUUUUGCGCUCUGUAAGAUUGUGUUGUGUAAUCAGAAAUGCUGUACAAAUGUUCCAUAAUUAUGAUGUAAAUCAGCCGUUCUUCAUCAAUAAACAUGAGAGUGCCAUGUA